rnacentral:rRNA from 1 species
AGUGAACGCUGGCGGUAGGCCUAACACAUGCAAGUCGAACGGCAGCACAGUAAGAGCUUGCUCUUACGGGUGGCGAGUGGCGGACGGGUGAGGAAUACAUCGGAAUCUACUUUUUCGUGGGGGAUAACGUAGGGAAACUUACGCUAAUACCGCAUACGACCUACGGGUGAAAGCAGGGGAUCUUCGGACCUUGCGCGAUUGAAUGAGCCGAUGUCGGAUUAGCUAGUUGGCGGGGUAAAGGCCCACCAAGGCGACGAUCCGUAGCUGGUCUGAGAGGAUGAUCAGCCACACUGGAACUGAGACACGGUCCAGACUCCUACGGGAGGCAGCAGUGGGGAAUAUUGGACAAUGGGCGCAAGCCUGAUCCAGCCAUACCGCGUGGGUGAAAAAGGCCUUCGGGUUGUAAAGCCCUUUUGUUGGGAAAGAAAAGCGGCAGGUUAAUACCCCGCUGUUCUGACGGUACCCAAAGAAUAAGCACCGGCUAACUUCGUG